rnacentral:rRNA from 1 species
CCUACGGGUGGCAGCAGUGGGGAAUAUUGCACAAUGGGGGAAACCCUGAUGCAGCGACGCCGCGUGAGUGAAGAAGUAAUUCGUUAUGUAAAGCUCUAUCAGCAGGGAAGAAAAUGACGGUACCUGAGUAAGAAGCACCGGCGCACUACGUGCCAGCAGCCGCGGCAAUACGUAGGGCGCAAGCGUUAUCCGGAUUUACUGGGCGUAAAGGGAGCGUAGACGGGAGUGCAAGUCUGGAGUGAAAGGCGGGGGCUCAACCCCCGGACUGCUCUGGAAACUGUACGGCUUGAGUGCAGGAGAGGUAAGUGGAAUUCCGAGUGUAGCGGUGAAAUGCGUAGAUAUUAGGAGGAACUCCAGUGGCGAAGGCGGCUUACUGGACUGUAACUGACGUUGAGGCUCGAAAGCGUGGGGAGCAAACAGGAUUAGAUACCCUUGUAGUC